UACGUAGGGGUCUAGCGUUGUCCGGAAUCAUUGGGCGUAAAGAGCUCGUAGGCGGUUCGGCAAGUCGGAUGUGAAAUCUCCACGCUCAACGUGGAGGGGCCAUUCGAAACUGCCGUGACUCGAGUCCGGUAGGGGAGUGCGGAAUUCCCGGUGUAGCGGUGAAAUGCGCAGAUAUCGGGAGGAACACCAGUGGCGAAGGCGGCACUCUGGGCCGGAACUGACGUUGAGGAGCGAAAGCCAGGGGAGCAAACGGG
rnacentral:rRNA from 1 species